ACAUCCUCAACCUGCUUGGUUUUUUCUCAAACCCAAGUAGGCUUGGAAUUUGGAGGUUUUCUGCCGGCCUCCUCCGAAGCCAGCUCCUCUUAAAUAUAUUAGUGGGAUCCGCUUUGCCAGAUCCUCGACGUUGAUAAGAUGUUUCUACGUCUUGGGUUUUGCUCGCGAAGGACCUGCUUCUAACCGUCCCACCAGGGACAAUGUUCGAGCCGAUCGCCCCUUCACCGGGUCGAGAAGCUUUCGACCCAUGAAA
rnacentral:misc_RNA from 2 species